rnacentral:rRNA from 1 species
GACGAACGCUGGCGGCGUGCUUAACACAUGCAAGUCGAACGGAAAGGCCCUGCUUUUGUGGGGUGCUCGAGUGGCGAACGGGUGAGUAACACGUGAGUAACCUGCCCUUGACUUUGGGAUAACUUCAGGAAACUGGGGCUAAUACCGGAUAGGAGCUCCUGCUGCAUGGUGGGGGUUGGAAAGUUUCGGCGGUUGGGGGUGGACUCGCGGCUUAUCAGCUUGUUGGUGGGGUAGUGGCUUACCAAGGCUUUGACGGGUAGCCGGCCUGAGAGGGUGACCGGCCACAUUGGGACUGAGAUACGGCCCAGAUUCCUACGGGAGGCAGCAGUGGGGAAUAUUGCACAAUGGGCGGAAGCCUGAUGCAGCAACGCCGCGUGCGGGAUGACGGCCUUCGGGUUGUAAACCGCUUUCGCCUGUGACGAAGCGUGAGUGACGGUAAUGGGUAAAGAAGCACCGGCUAACUACGUG